GAAGAUCCACACAAGCACCCAGCUUCAAUGUGUCAAUUGGGCACGUCGCUGAGGCAGGUGGCGGUGGGCAAGGCGUUCCCACCGGUGGUUUAUUCACUGGAGGAGUCACGACCGGAGGGACGGUGAUCGGUGGCUUAAUAAUGGGAGGGACUGUGAUGGGAGGGACUGUAACGGGAGGUUUAACAAUGGGAGGGACAGUGAUGGGAGGGACUGUAAUGGGAGGUUUAACAAUGGGAGGAACAGUGAUGGGAGGGACUGUAAUGGGAGGUUUAACAAUGGGAGGGACAGUGAUGGGAGGGACUGUAAUGGGAGGUUUAACAAUGGGAGGGACAACCGGUGGCAGGGUGAUAGGAGGCUUAACAAUGGGAGGGACAACCGGUGGCACGGUGAUAGGAGGCUUAACAAUGGGAGGACGAGUAAUGGGGGGCUUUCCUUUGGGUGGCUUGUGGUGGGAAGGGGGCUUGUGGUGGAAAGGGGGCUUGUGCUGGGGAG
rnacentral:lncRNA from 1 species